rnacentral:rRNA from 1 species
GAUGAACGCUGGCGGCGUGCUUAACACAUGCAAGUCGAACGAAGCACUUUAUUUGAUUUCCUUCGGGACUGAUUAUUUUGUGACUGAGUGGCGGACGGGUGAGUAACGCGUGGGUAACCUGCCUUGUACAGGGGGAUAACAGUUGGAAACGGCUGCUAAUACCGCAUAAGCGCACAGCAUCGCAUGAUGCAGUGUGAAAAACUCCGGUGGUAUAAGAUGGACCCGCGUUGGAUUAGCUAGUUGGUGAGGUAACGGCCCACCAAGGCGACGAUCCAUAGCCGACCUGAGAGGGUGACCGGCCACAUUGGGACUGAGACACGGCCCAAACUCCUACGGGAGGCAGCAGUGGGGAAUAUUGCACAAUGGGCGAAAGCCUGAUGCAGCGACGCCGCGUGAGCGAAGAAGUAUUUCGGUAUGUAAAGCUCUAUCAGCAGGGAAGAUAAUGACGGUACCUGACUAAGAGGCACCGGCUAAAUACGUG